GAAGGUGUUCAACUUGAAAGUUAUACCAAAAUUAUUUUUAUUUGCUUCACAAGUUAUUCUCAACAGGAGGGAGUUUUUAAAACUUGGUUCGAAAACUGAGGUAUUUUUGGACCUUAACUCUCAGUAAAUUGGAGUUAGCUUUGAUUUGCUUCUUAAUCACCCUAUUGAUUAUUUGAUUUAGGUUCUUAAUUACUUGGGCUGUCACAGCCGGACAUGUGUUUCGUGGCGCCGAUGGCACUUCCCAC
rnacentral:lncRNA from 1 species